rnacentral:rRNA from 1 species
CAAUAGCGUAUAUUAAAGUUGUUGCAGUUAAAAAGCUCGUAGUUGGACCUUGGACCUGGACAGGCGGUCCGCCUCACGGCGUGUACUGUCUUGCUGGGUCUUUCCUCUUGGUGAUCUGUUGUUUCGGCAGCAGGGAACCAGGACUUUUACUUUGAAAAAAUUAGAGUGUUCAAAGCAGGCUCGACGCCGGAAUAUAUUAGCAUUGAAUAAUAAAAUAGGACGUGCGGUUCUAUUUUGUUGGUUUUUGGAAUCGCCGUAAUGAUUAAUAGGGACAGUCGGGGGCAUUAGUACUCACAUGCUAGAGGUGAAAUUCUUGGAUUUUGUGAAGACUAACUUCUGCGAAAGCAUUUGCCAAGGAUGUUUUCAUUAA